rnacentral:lncRNA from 1 species
UCUCAUCCGCCUCCCUCUAGAUCUAUCUCUCUCGCUAAAAAAGAAAGUAACCAUGACUGCCAUCGCGAGCCACAGUCGCCUCCCCACCAGAGAACGACCUCCUCCUUGUCGCCGUCAUCGCCAUAUCAUCUUCUAUUGAAAACAGGUGUGCCACUGCCCUCUUUCUUCGUCUCUGACACCACCAACGAUAAAAAUAGCAAUGACAGCCCUCUUCGAGCCCCCUCCUCUUCUCCGCUUCGCGAACACGCAUCGAAGAUUGCCUCCGGCCCUCUCCACCAUCAACCAUCCAUGCAACCAGCUAAAUCAGCUAGCGAAAUCCCUUCACCAUCACCGCUAUUUCGGUUAAAAUCCACAGGAAACAAUAUAUUUUUUCGUGACAAAGAUUUGAUUUUGCGUUUUUGAAUUCUCAAUAUUCUUCAACCUAUUUUCUUUUCUUGAAUUCUAUUGUUUGAUUUCAUAAGUGUUAUUCAAGCUCCCUACGAUUGUUG